rnacentral:misc_RNA from 1 species
AAGUCGUAACAAGGUUUCCGUAGGUGAACCUGCGGAAGGAUCAUUAUUGUAGCACUAUUAUUCAUUUGUGAACUAGACAUAAUAAUUUGUUGGGUAUCGUCCAACAUGAGAUGACUAUGAUUAUUAGAUUAAACAAAAGAGAAAAACUUUUGGCAACGGAUCUCUAGGUUCUC